UACGGGGGGUGCAAACGUUGCUCGGAAUCAUUGGGCGUAAAGCGCACGUAGGUGGCCUGUUAAGUCGGGUGUGAAAUCCCUGGGCUCAACCCAGGAAGUGCACUCGAAACUGGCAGGCUUGAGUACUGAAGAGGGUCGCGGAAUUCCCGGUGUAGAGGUGAAAUUCGUAGAUAUUCGCAAGAACACCAGUGGCGAAGGCGGCUCACUGGCCCGGUACUGACGCUGAGGUGCGAAAGCGUGGGGAGCAAACAGG
rnacentral:rRNA from 1 species